UGCGUAGGGAGCAGGCGUUAUCCGGGAUUAUUGGGUGUAAAGAGUGCGUAGACGGGAGAACAAGUUGGUAUGUGAAAUCCCUCGGCUUAACUGAGGAACUGCAACCAAAACUAUUUUUCUUGAGUGCUGGAGAGGAAAGUGGAAUUCCUAGUGUAGCGGUGAAAUGCGUAGAUAUUAGGAGGAACACCAGUGGCGAAGGCGACUUUCUGGACAGUAACUGACGUUGAGGCACGAAAGCGUGGGGAGCAAA
rnacentral:rRNA from 1 species